rnacentral:misc_RNA from 1 species
UUUCCGUAGGUAAACCUGCAGAAGGAUCAUUCAUAAUAAGUGUUUUAUGGCACUUUUUAAAUCCUUAUCCACCUUGUGUGCAAUGUCAGUCGUUCUUUUCUAUGGGAACGACGAAACAUCAACCAACUCUUUAAAACUUUGUCUGAAAAAUAUCACGAAUAAAAUAAUUCAAAAUACAACUUUCAGCAACGGAUCUCUUGGCUCUC